rnacentral:rRNA from 1 species
AUAAGCCAGCUUGACUGCGAGCGUGACGGCGCGAGCAGGUGCGAAAGCAGGUCAUAGUGAUCCGGUGGUUCUGAAUGGAAGGGCCAUCGCUCAACGGAUAAAAGGUACUCCGGGGAUAACAGGCUGAUACCGCCCAAGAGUUCAUAUCGACGGCGGUGUUUGGCACCUCGAUGUCGGCUCAUCACAUCCUGGGGCUGAAGUAGGUCCCAAGGGUAUGGCUGUUCGCCAUUUAAAGUGGUACGCGAGCUGGGUUUAGAACGUCGUGAGACAGUUCGGUCCCUAUCUGCCGUGGGCGCUGGAGAACUGAGGGGGGCUGCUCCUAGUACGAGAGGACCGGAGUGGACGCAUCACUGGUGUUCGGGUUGUCAUGCCAAUGGCACUGCCCGGUAGCUAAAUGCGGAAGAGAUAAGUGCUGAAAGCAUCUAAGCACGAAACUUGCCCCGAG